CUCCGACUAUCCUGGUGGCAGUCUGCAUGGCAGGGCGGCUCCCGCAGUCUGAAAGGGAGGAGAGAGCCAGGGCGUCGGGAUCCUGCCACCUGUGCCUUGGCAAUGUGCUUUCUGGGGCAGGUGGGAAAAAAAUCUGCCUCAGCUUUGUGCAUGCUCCCAGCAUGUGCUCAAGUACCAGUACACUGCUAGGGAUGUCACAAGGGACCAGCCUUUAACCUGCAAUUCUGGAAAAAAGGCACCGCAAAGCACUGACCCAUCACAGGGUCCUCUCUGAAACUCCUUAAGGCAGGAAAGUCUGGACAGAAAUAGCUCUGCUAGUUUCACCAGCUCAGCCACUGCUGAGCUGCUUCCAGCAGCCCAUGGGCACGCAGAGAUUGCCUCCAGCACAGCAGGAGGGGAUGGGCUGGUCCCUGGACCUACACCACCUGUACAGGGUCAGACUGGUUGUAACUGAGCCUAGCAGAGAUAGGCACUUUGGGCCCCUGUGUUUGGUUAACAAUAUCUCCAUUUGACAAUUCAGCUCUUGCUAAGAGGAGACAGGUUUUGGGGUCACCGGCUGUCUCGCAUCUGGGAGCUCAAAAAUCUAAUCCAGACAUGCUGAUCAGUGCAAGAGCGGUCUUACUACCAGUGGACUUUAAAGUCUCAGACUCUAUCACAGGGGCUGUGAAUUACCAGGAAGCCCAAGGCUGUGCUGCAAAUCAAAGAAAUCAAAUAACGUCCAACAGAGGUGAGGGAGCAGGGGCAGAUGACGGGGGAGAGCACACCCACCUGGCUGUAGCUUUUUUCCGACUGUACCCUCUGGGGUGGUAUUUCAGGUGAGUUAACUAACUCAGCAACAAUGAAUUUCCACCUCAUUUCACGUUCAUUUGGGUGAAUGACCCACCUCAUUUCACUCUAGGGUGCCAACAGCUAUGCUGGCCAUACUCUGCUCCCUUGGUGUCUGGCAGAGAUCCCCUAAACGGAAUUUGGGUGCAGUCAAUGAGGCCAAAUGUCUGCUUUGGCCCUCUGCCUUAGAAUCAUAGAAUCAGCCAGGUUGGAAAAGACCUUCAAGAUCAUUAAGUCCAGCCAUCAACCUGACCUAACGAGUCCCAUCACUAUAUCACAUCCCUUAGUGCCAUGUCCACACCUCCAGGGACGGGGAUCCACCACUUCCCUGGGCAGCCCAUUCCAGUGCUUGACCAUCCUCUCCAUGAAGAAAUUGUCUUGUCUUGUAUCCUUUUCAGUUGGGCUGCCUCAAGAAAUCAGUGGACACACAGACGUGUCAAGAACCUGAUGCAUCUCCAUCACCCCUGAUGAUGGGGAAGAGACUGAGGUGGUGUAUUUGAAGAUGACAUGCUGGACUAUAGCACCACUGUGCCCUUGCCCUUACAUAAUUUUCUAGGAUAAAGAUAAAACCCCUCUGGCCAGCAAGAGGGUUUCUGGUAGAUGUUCAGUGGAAAGUUCAACUUGUCAGUUUUUCCUUUGGGUGAAAUGAAACUUCUUGAGAAUUUUCAGAAGCUGCUGCUGGGUCAGGAAGGAGACGACAGCAGGAAUCAGCAUCGACAGUUCUCAUGGUGCAUCUCAUGGGGCUUUCAAACCCCCUUGGUUUAAAAAAAAAAUACUGUAAAAAGCCAAUGCUUAUUCUUUUUUAGGAGCCCCAGCUGAUUCCAUGUUUGUCUGAUUUUGUAGUAGUCAUUCAAUAUCUCUGUCCCCAAUCUUUGCAUGGUUUAGCUGCUCAUUGUUGAUACUUUGGAAGGUUUAUGGGGAGAGCAGCAACGUAGCCUGUGGUACUGCAGUAGAUAAUAACCAUAUCUGAAAGUGGGGCUGGCACAGCACAUGAGGGAAGACAUUACUGGCUGAACUGAAGAGCAGAUCAAUUCACAGUUAGUAAACCACAGUUAUUCCCUGGGAACUCCAGUUGCUUCGUCCACUGAGGUGCAAGAAGUACCUCCUCUCCUUCGGGACCAUUUCCUAGAGGACAAAGUCAUCGGAACAGCAAAGUCUGCUAAGAGACUCAUUCACCAAGAAACAGGAAUGUGCAAGGAUAAAAGGAAUGAAGUCAUGCUUUCUCAUAUCCCAAAAUGGACAAAGAGAAGAAAAAGUUGCAUAUUACUUUUUCUGACAUCUGAAUUUAUUAUUGUUUUAAUUAUCAUAUUUUUUUCAACUUCUAACUUGUGCUUUUUUUUUUUUCCCCCCACAAACAGAAAAGCACUAAUGAACAAAGGUGAGGUGGGCUUUUGUUCUAUAUUCAGUUCUAGUCAUCUACAUUCCAUGUCAACAAUUUAAGCCAGAAAAAAUAAAAAGAUGAUUUUGAUGACAUGUAAACCAGAAGUCCAUCUUGCAAGAGCACAGUAGAGGGUGGAGUGUUUUUUUUUGGUGCCAGCAUAUAUGGACCAACAUAAAGGAGAUGAGUAGCAAGGAGCUAUAUAUGUUGAAAACAUCUUUCCAUUAAAAACAGAUGAGCAAAAAGUGAUUUUUUUUUUUGGUGUGGGCAGAAAUCAGAAGAGUGCCAACUGUCAGAGAAACAUGAGUUUCCAGUAAGAAUGUUAAGAAGAAAAAACACAUUUAUGGAUUUUUCUCAGAGUAAAAAUUGUGAGUGGUUAAAAAUAUAAAGCCCCU